GCAGAUGUGAUGAAAUGAAACAAUAGAAGCGCAUGCGCCUAUAUUAGAGGAAAUACGGUAGUUCUGCAUGGCCUAGGAUCCGA
rnacentral:snoRNA from 16 species